AUGGCGAGUUUAUUAAUGAAGAAGAACGCGGCGCAAUCUAGCAGAACGUGCCAGAAAACUUGCGCUAUAAAUAAGCUCGGCCUUGCACACUCCAUCCUCAAACCAGCUCUCUCGCCUUCCCAGCAACACAUACCACCACUUGAAUUGAACCUCAAGCGCAGAGAGGAGGAGCAAUGGAGUACGGGCACCCUUGCAACAGCUCCAGCAACAAGGAGAAGAGGCCUCCUCUCAAGAGGGGCCAGAUCAAGGUGCAAAUAG
rnacentral:rRNA from 1 species